GCGAGUGAAGAGGGACGAGCUCAAAUUUUAAAUCUGUUAGGUUUACCUAACCGAGUUGUAAUUUGAAGAGGCGUUUUCUGUGUUUCUGAUCAGCCCAAGUCCUUUGGGAUAGGGCAUCAUGGAGGGUGAUAAUCCCGUCCGGCUGAUCAUUGCGUUUUACGAUACGCUUUCUAAGAGUCAAGUUGUUUGGGAUUGCAGCUUAAAAUGGGAGGUAAAUUUCUCCUAAGGCUAAAUAACGGCGAGAGACCGACAGCGAACAAGUACCGUGAGGGAAAGAUGAAAAGAACUUUGAAAAGAGAGUUAAACAGUACGUGAAAUUGUUGAAAGGGAAACGAUUGAAGCCAGUCGUACCUUCGGGUAAUCAGCCUUUCGGGUGCGAUUCUGUGGAGCGUGGGGAGUUAAACGCCUUCAUGCCUGCAUAUUCGUGCACUUUGGGUGUACUUGCCCGUGUGGUAGGUUAACAUCAAUUUCGGAUGUCAUAAAAUGGCUGGAGGAAUGUAGCUUCGGUCUCGUACUGAAGUGUUAUAGCCUUUGGUAGAUGUGAUGACCGGGAUUGAGGAUUGCAACGAAUACCUUUUGGGCUAUCCGUCUGAUCUCUGAAAGUUGCUCUGGUGCCGAAAGCUUGCUUACGGUUAUCAAAGUUGACGUUCAAAAGGUUAGAACGGGUUAAAUUCGUUAAGGAUGU
rnacentral:rRNA from 1 species